GGGAGCCGUAUACAUCGAGAGGUGUACGUGCGGUUCCGGGGCGAGGGUUCGGAAACCUGCUGUCGUGAGACAGUAAGGCGCCGGAUUCUUAGCCUAC
rfam:Lachnospiraceae bacterium 3-1 genomic scaffold acPFp-supercont1.16, whole genome shotgun sequence.